rnacentral:rRNA from 1 species
GAUGAACGCUGACAGAAUGCUUAACACAUCAGCAAUGGAUUGGUGGCGGACGGGUGAGUAACGCGUAAAGAACUUGCCUCACAGCUAGGGACAACAUUUGGAAACGAAUGCUAAUACCUAAUACUGUGAGAGAGCUUUGCGUCCCAUUAGCUAGUUGGAGAGGUAACGGCUCACAAAGGCGAUGAUGGGUAGCCGGCCUGGGAGGGUGACCGGCCAAAAGGGGACUGAGACACCGCCCGUACGCCAACGGGGGGCAGGAGUGGGGAAUAUUGGACGAUGGACCAAAGUCUGAUCCAGCAAUUCGGUGUGCACGAUGAAGUUUUCGGGAUGUAAAGUGCUUUCAGUUGGGAAGCGGUACCAACAGAAGAAGUGACGGCUAAAUACGUGCCAGCCGCCGCGGUAAUAC